UGAGUGUUCGUUUCCGGCACUACAUUAGCUCUUUCCGGGCUUAUACAUGUUACUAUACGGGAGUAGGGAGUGGGGCUUUUUCUCGCGGUUUUUCCUUAAAAAGGGAAUAAAGCGAGAUGGGGUCAUGAAAAUCAGAGUAGAAAUUAUGACUUUGAGGUUGUCCCCCUGCGUCAGUAAUUAAUAUUGGUGUUGUUAUUUCAGCAAUGAAUAUUCAGCCGUGAUGGAAAAGAGAGGGAGAUAAUAAAGUGCCAGCAUCUGCGGUUAAACUUUGCCUUCGGGUUAAUGUGUUCUUGUGGUGGGGCGGCAGAGAAUAACAGGCGAGCUUUUUCCCUAUUCCGGUGAAAUGGGUAGAGGAAAAUUUUUUAGGGGCCUGAACUCUGUGAGCUCGUAAGGCUGUCUUAAGAGACGGGGAUUAGAGACCCCCUUAUUUAUGCUGUUUUAUGAAUCCAUGGGUAGUACGAGUGGUUGCUUAAAAUCUAAGGAAGUUGGCGGUGAUCUCAUAUCAUGUGAGGGGAACUUGGCGGUUAAUUCGAUGAUCCUCGAAAACCUUACCUCUUGUUUUCUUAGCCUACCGCCGUUGUCAGUAAUCUUUUUGAUAAAGUAGAGGAUUGCUAGGGAUACUAAACCUAUUAAAAUUUUUGUUGGUUUACCUAUUCGAAUUCAGGUAAGGGUGUUGGGUAUCAAGAGGGCUUUGCUGAGUUACAAUUAUCAAAUAAAACGGAAGUAUAGGCUGAAAUGCCUUACUGAAGGUGUACUUCACAGUAAUGUUUUCAAGUGAGGAAACGUGAACGGGUUCUGGGUCGUGUACAAAUCGCCCGGCACCCCUGUAUAUAUAAAGUCUGGGUAAGUCGUAACAUAGUAAUGCUACCAUAAGGUGGUUUUACAGAAU
rnacentral:rRNA from 1 species